GUAUAGGUUGUCGUUGACAGCCAACGAUAUUCAGUGACGUCGAUGACGGUCGUGGAAAUGACGAGGCUGAUAAUGAUUGCCACGACGACGAUGACACUUGGCCCCGCGAGCGUUUACGUAGACACGACAUUCGGAACGCGCGUUCGUAAUUAACGGAGCGUACAUAGUGAGCGAUUACUCGAUAGAUAAAGAAAAGUACAACUUCGCGAGUUGUACAAACAAAUUUUGUUUUACAUUUUCCAUCCGUUUCCUCGUUAUACUGCGAAUAUUUAGCAACCGCGUUGCCGUCGGAGGAAAUAUCCUCUACGUAGCGUGAAAUAUGCGCCGUUCCUGGCAACCAACCGCGCCGCAAGGUUACUUGUUCCCUUAAUUUUAGAAGCGUCGGUGAGGAACGCUCGAAGAUGCUUGUCGCGACGAAAAUAAUAACGUAACGCGGCUGCGGGGGCGAGAAUAAGAAUCACGGACUUCCUUGAAGGAUACGUUAGACUGACAGGACUUUCUACUUUUCCACCGACCAGUUUCCUCGAACGACAAGUAAAUCGACUGUGGAAUCGAAGGAACGCUAAAGCAGCUCGGGAACGAAGAAGGAGAAAGUCCGCGAGAUCGGAGACCGUUUCACUUUCGCCUUGUUCGACGAGCACCGUUGGACGUUGGAGCCGUUCCGGAUCGAAACACUUGGAUGGUGGAGUAUUUCGAAGGCAGACGAUCCGAAAGCUGCCUUAUCGCGCUAAGAGGACCGAUGCUCGUUGCCACGACAAGAGCAAACCAAGUUUGUACCGAAGUUUGGCCUUAUCACCUCUCUUCCAUAGUCCGAUCGCUACCUAGAGUCUAGGUCCUAGACGAUCGCUACGAAUUACGUAGGAUGGCCCAAACGAUCCACGAGCCCGUCCAAACCGGACCAAGUCGUUCCCGCGACAAGAAAAGACGCCGUACAGUGGACGUUUUCCAUGGAAUCGAUCCCAGAUCCAUUAGACUGGAAUGGAACCCGGGUCGAAGGGCCUCGGGGUCAUCGCGGUCGUUCCAGUGACCCAGUCAGCUCGGGCGCGACCUUCGAGGCGAUGUGUUCACCCAUUUAAACCAUCCUCCUGUACUUUCUCCCCGUCUCCCGGAUCGCUAUUUCUCUCUUUCGCAUCGCGAGAAGAAUACACAAGGGCACGUAGCCGCGCAUACAUACGUAUGGACGAACAUGGCGAGCGACGGCGAGGAGGGCAUUAACAGUGCCGCGAGGAGGAGGCGAGGGUACGGAAAAGAGAAUUCCGAACAGUGGUCGCUAGACGAAGAUCAUCCAGGGUAUGGGAAAGAGAGAAAGUGACGAGUGUACGUACAUAGGUUACACACCGACGCGACGUACAGAAAGGCGGGUAGGGACAGGGAAACGCGAACAGACGGAGAGGACCAGCGAACGGAACAGAGAACACCCGCCGGUCGAAAGACGAGGGAAGAGAGAAGUCUGGCAGUCAGGGCGGUAAACGAAGAGGGCCGACCGAGUGGGACAGGAUGCAACAAAGCACCGACAGGUACAUACUAAAUCGUAGGACAGUGUCAGAGGAUCGUGGCCCUGUGAGAAAGCUCUCUCACGAAGAGCGAUUCGGUUCACUGAAUGUUUCAAGCUACGUCCUAACGUAUUCCAUCGAGGGAAGCGUCCACAGGAGUCGCUUUCCUGCUGCGUUCCCCGAGGGUCAGGGCCCUGUCCCUUUGUCGCCCCUUUUCAAUGCUGCGCCUGCCUGGCUCUGCAGCUGCUCUUCUCUCUCUCUCUCUCUCUCUCUCUCUCUCUCUCUCUCUCUCUCUCUCACACGCACACACACACACACACACUAAAAGAGACGUUUUUCAAAGUCCCCUCCGCGCUAACGAUCGCCCGGUCUCUUCCUAUCCCUUCCUAUGACGCGAAACGCGAGGGUCGAAAAUCCCACUGGGAGAUUAUUUUUCCCUUUCCACCCUCCUGGCAUCCGCGCCCCACGUUCCUCUGACCUGGCCUCUCCGCCAAGGAAUAUUACGUCCCGGGACGCGGUUCCCGGGUGGAAAGAGGAAACUUCUGCCCCUUUCCGACUUUAUCGUCCUGCUCGCAGCAAAAUUCCCGCCGCGUGCCACAAUCUAACGACGAUCUCUCCAUUUUCUCGCCGGCGCCGUUUCGCGAGUUAACGUUGCGUUUUCGUCCUUUAAUGGAAUAUCUCGAGUAUCGCGCGGCCCGAGAAAGACUCCGCAAACUUUCAUUUACGUAUAUCCAACGACGUUUUACUCGAUGCCAAAGAAGAAUUUAUCGUCUUUCCGCGAAGGUAUACAUCGACAGGCAACGUAGAGUGGAUAUCGAUCUGUGCCUGAGAAGCCGACGUGCUCCGUUUCCUGGCCGUCUAUAAUUCAUCAUCGUUCCGCUUCCUGGUCUUUGUGCCUUCUGGACAAAGUCGAAGGCGUCGUUCGCCUGGAAACGCGUCGAUCGACUUCGGAAUAAAACUAUCGGAUAUGGGAGGACAUCCUAAGUUUGGCGAGAUUUAUUAGCGGUUAUACAAGAUAUACUUAUGAUAGUACACAUUUUCUUUUUUUUUUUAUACACGCGAAGGAGCA